UGUUAGACAUGUUAUCUAACAGCAAUUCUUCGCCGUUCAGUACUACUACUGCAGAGAUGAGAUGAAAGAUGGCGUUUGCAGAUCUGAAUCUGAAUCUCUAGGAAGUUAGCAUUUGUCGUUCGCCACCUCUGAGCUCGUCUCCGAUCUGCUCUCUUUUGCUCUUCUGUGCCUCUCUCCGCCAUUCCUCUAUUUUUGCUUCAAAUCUGCUCUCGCCGCCGCUGCUCUGCUCUCUGCUCCGAUCCCCCAGUCUCCGUCACUGCCUCUGAACUCUCUCGCCUUCGGCUGAGGAGAGGCACACUGAGAUUCUAGGCCGCCUUCUCUACACCACAAAAUUGGUUGCAAAGCAAGAAGGCCUUGACGAUGGCUUCAAAAUUGUAAUCAACGAUGGACCAAAAGGCUAGAUUACAGGGCAAAAAAUGGCUUAGAUGAUGGAAAGGAAGCAUGCAAAAGUGGAAGGAAUACAAGAAACUGAAGGAACUGUAAAGCUGUCAACCCUGACCUCUUUGCACUCAAUCGGUCAUAACUCGAGCUACAAAGGUCCAAAUGAGGCGGUUUCAGUUGCGUUGGAAAGCUAACAUCGGGGGCUUCAAAAUGAUAUAUAAUUUUUCAUAGUUGCUAUGCAGCUAGGUGACGCGUUCGCGCACUUGAAGCGCACGCGCACCUGGCGCGUACGCGCGACAUGCGCGACGUACUGCAACUGCAGAAAUCGCUGGGGGCGAUUUCUGGGCUGUUUUUUACCCAGUUUUCGACCUAGAAAACACAGAUUAGAGGCUGCAUAGUGGAGGAUUGAAGGAACACUUCUCAUUAUUCACAAUUUAGGUUUUAGAUGUAGUUUCUAGAUAGAGGCUUUCUCCUCUCUCUAGGUUUUAGGAUUCCUAGUUCUACGUUUUGGAUUGGAUAAUUGAAGAAAGUUACUACCUCCGUAGAGUUUUUAUCAUUCUAGUUUGUUUCCUAUUCCUUUACUCUUUUAUUUCCUAUUUACUUUGUUUAGAGUUAUAUGGAUAUCUUCGAUUUUGGAAUUAAUUAA